AUUGAACGCUGGCGGCAGGCCUAAUACAUGCAAGUCGAGCGGCGCGGCGGACGGGUGAGUAAAGCCUAGGAUUAUGCCUGGUAGAGGGGGCUAACGUCCGGGAACGGGCGCUAAUAACGCAUACUAUCAGUUGAGUUUAGGUCGGAUUAGAUAGUCGGUGGGGUAAAGGCCUACCAAGGCGACGAUCCGUAUCUGGCCUGAGCGGAUGAUCAGUCACACUGGAACUGAGAAACGGUCCAGACUCCGACGGGAGGCAGCAGUAGGGAAUAUUCGGCAAUGGACGAAAGCCUGACCCAGCCAUGCCGCGUGUGUGAAGAAGGUCUUCGGAUUGUAAAGCACUUUAAGUAGGGAAGCGUUACCAACAGAAUAAGCACCGGCUAACUUCGUGCCAGCAGCCGCGGUAAUUC
rnacentral:rRNA from 1 species